rnacentral:rRNA from 1 species
UACGGGGGGGGCAAGCGUUGUUCGGAAUUACUGGGCGUAAAGGGCUCGUAGGCGGCCAACUAAGUCCGACGUGAAAUCCCAAGGCUUAACCUUGGAACUGCGUCGGAUACUGGAUGGCUUGAAUUCGGGAGAGGGAUGCAGAAUUCCCGGUGUAGCGGUGAAAUGCGUAGAGAUCGGGAGGACCAUCCGUGGCGAAGGCGGCCAUCUGGAUCAACACUGACGCUGAGGCACGAAAGCGUGGGGAGCAAACAGG